CAGCAGCCGCGGGAAUACGUAGGUGGCAAGCGUCGUCCGGAAUUAUUGGGCGUAAAGGGAGCGCAGGCGGACAUAUAAGUCCAUCUUAAAAGUGCGGGGCUCAACCCCGUGAGGGGAUGGAAACUGUAUGCCUUGAGUGCAGGAGAGGAAAGCGGAAUUCCCAGUGUAGCGGUGAAAUGCGUAGAUAUUGGGAGGAACACCAGUGGCGAAGGCGGCUUUCUGGACUGUAACUGACGCUGAGGCUCGAAAGCCAGGGGAGCGAACGGGAUUAGAGACCCCUGUAGUCCCUGUCUCUUAUACA
rnacentral:rRNA from 1 species